rnacentral:rRNA from 1 species
UAGGGAAUUUUCGUCAAUGGGGGAAACCCUGAACGAGCAAUGCCGCGUGAGUGAAGAAGGUCUUCGGAUCGUAAAGCUCUGUUGUAAGUGAAGAACGGCUCAUAGAGGAAAUGCUAUGGGAGUGACGGUAGCUUACCAGAAAGCCACGGCUAACUACGUGCCAGCAGCCGCGGUAAUACGUAGGUGACAAGCGUUAUCCGGAAUCAUUGGGCGUAAAGGGUGCGUAGGUGGCGUACUAAGUCUGUAGUAAAAGGCAAUGGCUCAACCAUUGUAAGCUAUGGAAACUGGUAUGCUGGAGUGCAGAAGAGGGCGAUGGAAUUCCAUGUGUAGCGGUAAAAUGCGUAGAUAUAUGGAGGAACACCAGUGGCGAAGGCGGUCGCCUGGUCUGUAACUGACACUGAGGCACGAAAGCGUGGGGAGCAAAUAGG